GACGAACCGAGCGAACGUUAUUCGGAAUCACUGGGCUUAAAGGGCGCGUAGGCGGGCCGUCAAGUCAGGGGUGAAAGCCCCCAGCUCAACUGGGGAAGUGCCUUUGAUACUGACGGCCUCGAGGGAGAUAGGGGCGUGCGGAACUUCCGGUGGAGCGGUGAAAUGCGUAGAUAUCGGAAGGAACACCGGUGGCGAAAGCGGCGCGCUGGAUCUCUUCUGACGCUGAGGCGCGAAAGCCAGGGGAGCGAACGGG
rnacentral:rRNA from 1 species